rnacentral:rRNA from 1 species
UUCGCAAUGCCCGAAAGGGUGACGAUGCGACGCCGCGCGAGCGAAGAAGGCCCUAGGGUUGUAAAGCUCUGUCGAGGGUUAUGAAAUAUAGAUGGGUUAAUACCCCAUUUAUUUGACAAAAGCCCAAAAGGAAGCCACGGCUAACUCUGUGCCAGCAGCCGCGGUAAUACAGAGGUGGCGAGCGUUGUUCGGUAUUAUUGGGCGUAAAGAGCACGUAGGUGGUUUUGUAAGUCAGGUGUGAAAGCCUUCUGUUCAAAGGAAGAACGGCAUCUGAAACUGCAGAUCUUGAGUGUAGGAGGGGAGAGUGGAACUCCUGGUGGAGCGGUGAAAUGCGUAGAUAUCAGAAGGAACGUCGGCGGCGAAAGCGACUCUCUGGCCUACUACUGACACUGAGUGUGCGAAAGUUAGGGGAGCAAACGGGAUUAGAUACCCCGGUAGUCCUAACCGUAAACGAUGGGCACUAAGUAGAGGGGUUUU